rnacentral:sRNA from 1 species
UCCAUUUUAAAAAAAAUGGUGCGCGUGU